AUCGAACGCUGGCGGCAGGCCUAACACAUGCAAGUCGAACGAGUGGCGGACGGGUGAGUAAUUCUUUGGAAUCUAGCUUAUGGAGGGGGCUAACUACGGGAAACUGUAGCUAAUACCGCGUACCACAGGUUGAGCCCAAGCGGGUUUAGGUAGUUGGGGAGGUAAAGGCUCACCAAGACGACGAUCGAUAGCUGGUCUGAGAGGAUGAUCGGCCACACUGGGACUGAGACACGGCCCAGACUCCUACGGGAGGCAGCAGUGGGGAAUAUUGGGCAAUGGGGGCAAGCCUGACACAGCAAUGCCGCGUGAGUGAAGAAGGCCUUCGGAUUGUAAAAUUCUGUCGGUAGAGAAGCGUUAACUAAAGAGAAAGCAACGGCUAACUACGUGCCAGCAGCCGCGGUAAUAC
rnacentral:rRNA from 1 species